GAAAAACAGAAGCAGAGGCGAGAAAGAGUAGAAAGAAAAGGGAAAGCAGAGGCGAGAAAGAGAAGAAAGAAAAGGGAAAGAUGAGAAGAAGGCAAAAAAAAAAGGAGACGAAGACGGAAAUAGAAAAGGAAAUGGAUGGGAAAGAAGAAAAGAAAAGAUAAGGAAGGAGGAGGGAUUCAUAGAGAAUUUCAACACUAGCUUUGAGUCUACUCAAAUCAACAUGACAGAUUUUAGUGUUAUGCCCGAGCAAGAUUACAAGAUGUCGGGUAUGACAGUUUUCUUCGCUCUGCCUAUAUAGGGGAUACUCACCAGGACAUCUCCAGGGUCGUGCCAAGCCGUGAUUCCGCUCAAGGUUGUGCCACCAUAGAACAUCUUCCAUCGGUGUCGUAUUUGUUGUGUAUGUGGAUCUAGUGAAUUUAUGCAAAAAAAAAAAAAAAUUGAAUGGCUAGAAGCCUAACAAAAAACUUAUUCUCAUGUUUGAAUGGAAUAUAAGAUGUAUUUAUGUGUGUGUGUUUGUGUUUUGUGGAAUAUUUGAGCAGCUUUACAAGAUACGUUUCGACCUCCUAAGUCUUAUAAGAGUGUUCGGAUAUUACAAGUUUAGCAGAUCAA